GCGGGAGUAGUCAAGCGGCCAACGACACCGGGUUGAGGGCCCGCGCCCUAGCGGCUACGGCGGUUCGAAUCCGCCCUCCCGCA
rnacentral:tRNA from 1 species